GAUGAACGCUGGCGGCGUGCCUAAUACAUGCAAGUCGAGCGAACGGACGAGAAGCUUGCUUCUCUGAUGUUAGCGGCGGACGGGUGAGUAACACGUGGAUAACCUACCUAUAAGACUGGGAUAACUUCGGGAAACCGGAGCUAAUACCGGAUAAUCUUUUGAACCGCAUGGUUCAAAAGUGAAAGACGGUCUUGCUGUCACUUAUAGAUGGAUCCGCGCUGCAUUAGCUAGUUGGUAAGGUAACGGCUUACCAAGGCAACGAUGCAUAGCCGACCUGAGAGGGUGAUCGGCCACACUGGAACUGAGACACGGUCCAGACUCCUACGGGAGGCAGCAGUAGGGAAUCUUCCGCAAUGGGCGAAAGCCUGACGGAGCAACGCCGCGUGAGUGAUGAAGGUCUUCGGAGCGUAAAACUCUGUUAUUAGGGAAGAACAUAUGUGUAAGUAACUGUGCACAUCUUGACGGUACCUAAUCAGAAAGCCACGGCUAACUACGUG
rnacentral:rRNA from 1 species